rnacentral:rRNA from 1 species
UACGGGGGGGGCAAGCGUUGUUCGGAAUUACUGGGCGUAAAGGGCGCGUAGGCGGCCCGCUAAGUCGAACGUGAAAUCCCCGGGCUCAACCCCGGACCUGCAUCCGAUACUGCGUGACUAGAGGUAGGUAGGGGAGAUCGGAAUUCCUGGUGUAGCGGUGAAAUGCGCAGAUAUCAGGAGGAACACCGGUGGCGAAGGCGGAUCUCUGGGCCUUACCUGACGCUCAGGCGCGAAAGCUAGGGGAGCGAACAGG